CAUCCCCUCAAACUCCUCCAUCCUUCUCCAACUCCCAACCUCCUCCAUCUUUCCACAACUUAGAACCUCCUCCAUCCUUCUCCAACUCCCAACCUCCUUCCUUCUCAUCCCCUCAAACUCCUCCAUCCUUCUCUAACUCUGAACCUCCUCCAUCUUUCCACAACUUAGAAACUCCUCCAUCCUUCUCCAACUCCCAACCUCCUUCCUUCUCAUCCCCUCAAACUCCUCCAUCCUUCUCCAACUCCCAAGCUCCUUUCCUUCUCCAACUCCCAACCUCCUCCAUCCUUCUCAGACCCUCAAAUUCCUCCAUCCUUCUCUAACUCUGAACCUCCUCCAUCUUUCCACAACUUAGAACCUCCUCCAUCCUUCUCCAACUCCCAACCUCCUUCCUUCUCUAACUCUCAACCUUCUCCAUCCUUCUCCCCUCAACCUCAUCCAUCCCUCUCCAACUUUGAACCUCCUUGAUCUCCAGCCUCCUCUUCCAAGAAGAGACCCAAAAUAAAAGAAAACACAAAAAUCAAACCAAGCCAAGCCGUUCAGAUUUUGUUGCCCACGAGAGUCAGAUCCAGGAUGGACCUUAUCUGGAGUGGGGCCAAAAGCGCCCUGGCCCUCCCUCUAAAAAUAAGCGAGCUGAGCUGCUCCUAUUUUCGGUACUCAUCGCAUGGGGUACCAAGCUGUCUGAAAGGGUGCCGAAAAUAUGAAGCUAUACACUGCCGUCAGUUGAUUGGUCGAAAGAAUAACUUUGGCCUUAAAAGAGGCCUAUGUGUAGUCACCUUUGCAGGAGUGAAGAGAGUAUUGUGUUUAGAGAAAAGGAUUACAUGAACGUUAUGGCAUAUUUGGCUAUAACAUGUAAAAUUGUUAGGUUAGGUUACCAAUUUCUACAGGAUUUUGUGUUGGACCAUUUAAAAACAAAUUCAACUCAUACUGUUGGACCCAGAUAGACAGUGUUUAAAAUUUGAUGCUUAAUCCUUGUAUUAAAUAAUAAAUUCUAAGUUGUGUGGUGAUAGUAUCUGUCUCUACAGGAAAUGCCUUUCUCUCACAACUACUUCUGUCAUAUUUUCUGAUGUCAUGCCUUUCAGGGAAAAGAAGAGGUGAAAGUCUCUUGGACACCAUGCCCCAAGUGUGGGAAGAAGUGGGACGAUUCAUGGGAGCCAGACAGCCAACAGUUUAGCUAAAUCUAUUUUAUUUAUUUAUGUAUAUUA